AAGGCAGCUUUUGGUCGCCCUUCUUCCCCAUCCCACUUCUUUUCCCGGGUGCAAAAGUCCACCGAGACCCUAUUUAUUUAUUUAAAAAAAAAAAAAAGGGGGGGGGGGAAGAAAAGGAAAAAAAAAAAAACUCGUCCGCCGCGGAAGUUCCUCCAAGAGCCGUUUUGCAAAGCGCCCCUCCGCAAGAAUCCCAGGCCAAAGCUCUCUGGGAAGCUGACUCAAACCUUCUGACUCGGUUUGCAGAAGUUGCUCAUCCCGCGAAGCCAAUCGUUGCUGAACGAGGCCAACGGUUGCUGACCUCUGCUUUGCUGAACACAACCACCACACAGGCUGAGUGCACCCAGGAACUAGGCCUCCCACCUUUCAUCCCAGCAGGUUCUGCAAACCCACCAUCCAAAUCCACGUUACCAGGGGAAGAACCGAGUUUCGGGUUGGCCUAUAACUUUAAGCAUGAAGCUUUU